rnacentral:rRNA from 1 species
UACAGAGGGUGCGAGCGUUAAUCGGAAUUACUGGGCGUAAAGCGCGCGUAGGCGGUUUUUCAAGUCGGGUGUGAAAUCCCCAGGCUCAACCUGGGAACUGCACUCGAGACUGGAUUACUAGAGUAUGGGAGAGGGAAGUGGAAUUUCCGGUGUAGCGGUGAAAUGCGUAGAUAUCGUGAGGAAGACCAGUGGCGAAGGCGGGUCUCUGGACAGUUCCUGACACUGAGGCACGAAGGCCAGGGGAGCAAACGGG